GACGAAGGGGGCUAGCGUUGUUCGGAAUUACUGGGCGUAAAGCGCGUGUAGGCGGUUGUCCAAGUCGGGGGGGAAAGCCUUGAGCUCAACUCAAGAAAUGCACUCGAUACUGGGUGACUUGAGGACCGGAGAGGAUAGUGGAAUUCCCAGUGUAGUGGUGAAAUACGUAGAGAUUGGGAAGAACACCAGUGGCGAAGGCGGCUAUCUGGACGGUUUCUGACGCUAAGACGCGAAAGCGUGGGGAGCAAACAGG
rnacentral:rRNA from 1 species